UGGAGAAGACAGCAGUGAAAGGACUGCCAUCACUUGCUAGGUCUUCUUCUUCCUUCAGAGUUCAAGCUAGUGGUGUCAAGAAGCUUAAAACUGACAAGCCUUACGGUAUGUUUCAACCUAUUUUCUUUUAUUCCGUGCCAAAAAAGUAACCUCUUUCCUUAUCAUUUUACGCCACAACUUCUAUCUUUUCUUGAACUUUAUGCUCACUCAAAUGAGUUCACAUGAAAUUAAAACGAAGGGAGUAUAUUUCUUCCUCCGAUUCUUGCCACGUGCACUUUAACUUGGUUAUAUACAUCGAUAGUAUUAUACUCCAUCCGUUUCAAUUUAUGUGAACCUAUUUCCUUUUUGGUCCGUGCCAAAAAGAACGACCCUUUCCUUAUUUGGAAACAAUUUACUUUUAUGCAAUGAUUUAUAGCCGCACAAAAUAUAUGUGCCUCAUUUUACACCACAAAUUCAAAAGUCUUUCUCUCUUUUCUUAAACUCCGUGCCCAGUCAAAUGGGUUCACGUAAAUUGAAACGGAGGGAGUAGCUUUUACAUUAUUGGUGCAAUUUUAUCUAUUGUAAUAGGUCAUUAUCAUGUUUUACAUCUUACUAAUCGUCUUUGCUGUUAAAGUUACUCUACUUAGAUUUUGUAGAUCUUUAGACAAAUAGAUCGUCGGAGUCAUUGUUUACUUUUUCUAGGCGGAUAUAUAGAUUAUAUACUGAUUAUGCAUAAAAUUUGCCAAUUAAUUUUAGUUUAAGCGGUUGGAUAUGCGGCUAUUUAGAUUAAUUCUUCUAGAUUUUUUAAGUGACGUAAAAGUACAAAAAUUAUGUAUUAAUAUAUAUUCGUCAAUCUCUUAAAAAGGUCCAAAUUUACCCAGAUAUUAUACGAAAUAUCUUAAUCUUAUUAUUUGUUGUACUCUAUAGCUAUUCAUAUUUUUACCGUUAGCAAAUUGUCUGGUACUUGACCUUGACUUUAAUAGAGCUUUAGUGUUAACCGGAAGAAUUCCGCAUAUCAAAAUACUUUUGUAAAAGCUCCAAAUUUAACCAGCGACUUUUAUUAUGGUUUAAAAUUACCCUCCAGUAUACAGCACCAUAAGGGUCUAGGGCGUGAUUUGCUAACGAUGAACGUAUGAAUCACAAAGUAUAAUGGAAAAUGAAAUUAAUUAAGAUAUUUUGUAUAGAGUAGGCGUGUUUUUAAUCCUUUUCCGUCAGCUCUUUAAUGAACCCCAGUUUUGCCAGAUUUCAUUUUCACUUUCUAAAUCGUGUUUUGGGUUUGUAUAUGUUGUAGAUAUAUUCUCCCAUAUGUUACGUUGUUUCUUCCUUCUAUCUGCUGAUUAUAAAGUGCUACCAUUUGGUUUUGUCAUUAGGAAUUAAUGGAAGCAUGAGCUUGAGAGACGGCGUUGAUGCCUCAGGCAGGAAGCCCAAGGUUUGUUUCUACAAUUUUUGAUUUCAAGUAUUAUAUUGUUAAUUAUGAGGGCAAAAAAUUUCUAUUCUUUGAUAUCAUAUUUUCAAAUAUAAGUAUGUAAAUUUUUAUCAUGAAAUUUUAAAAUCUAUGGCUAGAUCUACACCAAAAGUUGAAUGCGUUGAUUAUUGUAGUCUGAUCGUGAAGAUAACUAUAUCAUAGCCUACGUAAACGAAAUUCAUAGACCCAAAAAAUAGUCAAAUUAUUUUGUGCUGUGACACUUGUAAAUUGUAAUAUAUAAGCAAAACCGUUGGUUAUGUUCAGG
rnacentral:lncRNA from 1 species